GCAAUAUAUAUUCUGUGUUGAGUUGGUUCACAUAUACAUCAUAAAAUAAGAUCAUGUACGUACCAAGGGAUUAACAUCUACUAUGGUCAAGCACAACUCUAUCCUCAAUAACAUAGUUACAUAAACAUAACUGUUCAAACUUUACAUUACAUUCUUAUCAUCGUCAUGUCCACAUACUCUAGCUAUUACAUACAUAUGACUUUUCUCUUCUUUUCUUCUCUAUCAAUCCCGUACCUGCAAACCUGGGGGUUAGGGGAGAGGGGUGAGCUAAAAGCCCAGUGAGCAGAAACUAAAAACAUUAUAUUAAAGUUCAUGCUUUCAUGAAAUGCAUCAUAACACAGACAAUUCACAUCAAGGGUGAACCUGUCAGUAUAUUCGUCUACACUCAUGUCAUCGGUUUGCCUCAACUGCUCGAAUUCUAUCAUCUUUAAUUCCCUUGAACUAUCAGGGAAAGCCCAUCCUGCAAAUUCAUUAGCGAACUCCUCCCAUGAUAGGCUAUCCACCCUCGGCUUCACAUAGUUUUUGAACCACUCACGGGCCUUUUUNNNNN
rnacentral:lncRNA from 1 species